rnacentral:piRNA from 1 species
CUAAGGUGCUUAAGAAUGUUGAC